AGGGGAGGUGGCUGCGGGCUGAGGGGACCCUGAGGGGGCGCUGAGGGGAGCGCGGCUGUGAGGCGCCCAGCGACCCCCAACCGAGUAUGGAGAGCGUGAGGGGAGCCUCCCGACCCCGAGAAGGAGCUCCUCGUGGAGAUGGGUCCCCUUAGCGCGCGGUGUGGGGAGCUUAUCGCGCAGCAGGCCGAGAGAUAGGGGCAGAAAUCGGGUAAUUGCCAGGGGAGCGAGGCGAUAAGGGGCCUGCCCCGCCCGCCGUGACAGUAUCGGCUUGCAGCAAGUCAGGAUCGGUGCAGGUGCACGGUGAGAGCAGGCAAGCUGCAUUACCGGAGAGAAAUCUAUCAAAACCUGAGGUAUUUCAGGCAGUCCAGUAUCCUCUGAGUGUUAAAUUCCAGUGUUAUGAGGGGUUGUGCACCUCAGCCUGGAAAUCUGCAGGUUCCUGAGCUGCCUCCUGCCCAGAUGCCGGGAAGUCAGUGCUGGUGCAGAAGCAAAGGAAAGCCCUGUUCCUGUGGAAUAGACUGUUCUUCUUUCUGUGCUCCUGGGGUGUCCUGAAGGAUCGCUACUGGCCUUCAAUUGCAAAACUCUGGCCAUGCCAAAAAGCUUCUAAGGUCAGAAUUUAAGUGCACAUCAGCCUUCCACUACAGGAACCAGCUGGAUCCAGGUUGUACAUCGAGGGAGUUAAUAUGACGUGACUGUUAAAAAGCAAAGCACUCACUCAAAGAAGGGUUAGACGCUUUUAACCUCUUUUUUUUUUUUCUUUUCCCGUGUAUGGCCAGAGAUCUAAUCCUGCAAACAAUAAUUACU